UGCUUUUAGAGGCUGUGUCUAAACUGAUCUUUGGGUUAAUGCUCUACCAAAUGGAGUGUGGAUGUGCAUACCUGAUACUUAGCUGGAGACAUUUAACCUUAUAUUGUCUGUAAAAGUCGCUGUUAUGCCUUGUGCUUUCCUGUGCACCUGGCAGCAGACAGAUAUCAUUCUUACCUGAUACACAUGGCCCUCUACCUGAGGGGCAAGUGCGUCUAUAAGUAUGUUCCCAUCAGUAUGUUCCUCUCUGAAGGGUACUGUGCUAGAAUUCUUGCCUAAUUUGCCACAUGACUUGUUGCUGUUGCCAUCUAUCAGUGCAGCCUUAGCUGACAUUGGCAUCCUUAGCAGUGAAGUGAAAGAAUAGCUUUCACAAGUAACCCCAGCUCUAUAGUCUUGGCCUCUUCAACUGGUUUCAUUGUAGUUGGUGGAAGGGACCUCUAAGAUCACAUAGUCCAGCCUGCUUCAAGUAAGACAUUUGUUACCAUUAAAGCAGGUCAGCGAUGGCUUGCUCUGACUCCAUAAAACCUUUGCUAUUGGAAAAAUCUACAUUCUGUGGGCACCUGUCCCAGUGCUGCACUGUUCUUGUAGUGAAAAAAGUUUGGUGUUGAUCUGAUGGAAGCUUGUGACUUGUCUGAAUAUUGGAAUUUACUUGGACACUCUUCUUUGUAGAAGGGGACUCCCCAUGUUUUUACAGGCAAUGAUGCUUACGGGUUUUCAGGACCUUGCAGAGUCAAACAAUUGACAACAAUUUCACAUUACUUGUAAGAGUCAUCUUGCCUUUUUGCAGCUGUCUUUGCAACUACCUCCAUUGAUAAGCAACUUGAUGCCUUGCACUGAGUGAUCCAGAGAUGGUCUGGUAGGUGUCACACCGGGAUUGUCAGUGAGAUAAUUAGAGAUUAGUGGAAGUGAGAGCACUCCAGAAACCUCUAGUUUGACUGAACAGCUCCGUUUGGAAUUAGAAAUAGCAUGCACCCAAAAUUCCUGAGCAGACUCUUCCAGACUUUGUGAGGUUGUAUUGAUAGCUGCCAUCCUGCCUUUAUUAAUUACAGGUAUCUCUGCAAGAGCUCUGCCUGUAUGGAAUGUGCUGUAAAAAUGAUCCUGGCUCUUCUCGCAUCUUGUAUUGAAAGCUUCUGCCUUCAGUGCCUGCUAGUAUAAGCUACCAGUGUCUUAUGCAUAAUACGCUCUGAGAUCCCAUGAAGUCAUGGACUGUCAACGCCUUUUCAUGAUGUUACUACUUUAAUAAACACUGAGGCUGCAACACAAACCAUUCAACUCUGCUGGAGGUUGAAGCUAGGCUGUAGAUACAAGGGAAGGGGUGCUUUUAUGCCUCAAGAAGAUAGUAUACUGAAAGAUACUUUUUCUGUGCUUAGCUGUCAUUAUGUGACAAGGUAACUUAAUUCAAUUGUGUACUUUUCAGUUUUCUUUCAGUACACAGUAGGUUGCCGCAACACUGUAGUGGCGACAGCUUGACAGUAAGCUUUAGUAGCCUGUGUUUGCAUUCUUAUUUCCUUCAUUAAUGCUGAUCGUGUACAACUUGUAGAUCUGAAUUUGAGACAUUAGCUAUUUCUUUUUGUGCAGGGGGAGUUAGGAGGAUACUUGGGAAAAGACAACCUCUUGUGUGGUACAAAGAAGGCUACAAACAUGCAGGCAGUUUUGUGGGGUUUUGCUAUUUACAGUGGUGUAAAAUAGCACAAAAAUUAACAGUUACAGGGUUGAGACAUGCAAACCAUGUAAUGAUAUUUUUUCUUCUAAAGAACUUCAUGUUUUGGGUGCAACCUGAAACACUGAGAGCUGUAACCUCACAGAAGGUCACAAACUGGUGGUGCUUAUUUCACUGAUAUUGUCCAUUACUAUCUCAGGGUCUGGUGCUGAGUGGAAUCACAAGUAGAAUCCACAUGCCUUUGUGCUAAUGUAUUCUGCAUGCAAAUACAUCAGAUCUGGGGAAGGGGAGUGGUAGGUUGGUCAGGGUUUAAAAGCUGAUUAUCCCCUUAAAUUUGUAUUAGCAUCCCUGUAUUGUUCUGUAAGUAGACUUAACUAAAACUCCUUUGAUACGCUAUUUUAUGUAAGAUUUCUGCCAUCCUUCACAACCUCAAGGUAAUAUUGUGAAGACAGCUUUAACAAGCUGAUGAGGAUAGAAGGCUUUUAUCAUAAGACUGCUUCAAAAUAAUCUAAAAUCUUAAUACUUGAAGAAAAGUUCCACAAGUCUUUACAUCAGAUGCAUUGGAGUCAUUGUUCCUGUAACACAUAAGUUGCCACUGUGCAAACUCUGGUGUCAGCUGAAAUUAUUUUACAUGGUAACUCCUUUCCAAUGAUAGGUUUUCUUCUAUCAUGUUCAAAGUUCUGGACCGAGUCAAAUGGAUAUAUGGCUUGUUAAUAUGAAAUAUGUUUCAUCACAAAUUAGGUCUUCAUGCUGUAUUUCCAAACUUGCAACUUUCUUAAUUAGGUAAUCUUGGCCUAAGUCAUUUAAGUCACUCCAGGACCCUUAUUUAAGGACAUGUUAAGGUGCUAGAGCAUCUAGUAGGCUCUCUUUCAUGCCUGUAUGCCUCAAGUAGAAAAGCUCUGGAUUGUGUGCUUAAACUGUUCAAAGGGUGGCCUUUGGAAUCCCAUGCUUUGGCUGUAAUUACAUGUUAAUAUGGCAAAACUAUACAAAAAGAGCUGUGUCUUUGCAAUAAAUGAUUUUUUUAGUAAUCAAGUAC